rnacentral:rRNA from 1 species
UACGGGGGGGGCAAGCGUUGUUCGGAAUUACUGGGCGUAAAGCGUGCGCAGGCGGUUCGUUAAGUCAGAUGUGAAAGCCCCGGGCUCAACCUGGGAACUGCAUUUGAAACUGGCGGGCUUGAGUAUGGCAGAGGGGGGUGGAAUUCCGCGUGUAGCAGUGAAAUGAGUAGAGAUGCGGAGGAACACCGAUGGCGAAGGCAGCCCCCUGGGCCAAUACUGACGCUCAGGCACGAAAGCGUGGGGAGCAAACAGG